rnacentral:lncRNA from 1 species
GUGGAACUGGCCUGAGGUCCCAGACGCUGUCCAUUGUGCUGCCGCCCUCCGCGCUCUCCAGCCAGAGCGCCAGUUCACCGGCUUUUGGGAGAACUCCGCCGCCUCACCUGCCCGCGGACAAGGUCACAGCUUUGCAGGGGGUUGACAUGGGCUGUGGCUUCCUGGAAAUGUCACCCUCACCAGAGCCUUUUACAUGGAUGUGAAUUUUGAGACAUGAAGGAGGGGCUGCACCCCAUGGACCUGGGUUCCUGGAGUCUUUGACGGCUUUGUGUGGUCGACUUGUUUUGAUACUGAGGACACCCCUGCUGGCUGUUAAUUUCAGGGCAAG